rnacentral:rRNA from 1 species
ACCGGCGCACGGGUGAGUAACGCGUAUCCAACCUUCCCGCGACUCGGGUAUAACCUGCCGAAAGGCAGACUAAUCCCCGAUGUCCUCCACUUUGGACAUCUUUUGUGGAGCAAAGGCUUCGGCCGGUUGCGGAUGGGGAUGCGUCCGAUUAGCUUGUUGGCGGGGCAAUGGCCCACCAAGGCUUCGAUCGGUAGGGGUUCUGAGAGGAAGGCCCCCCACAUUGGAACUGAGACACGGUCCAAACUCC